ACCUCGUACGAUCACUGAAGUUAAGCAACGUCGAGCUUCGUCAGUACUUACAUGGGUGUCCGCUUAGGAAUACCAGCUGCUGCAAG